rnacentral:rRNA from 1 species
GACGAACGCUGGCGGCGUGCUUAACACAUGCAAGUCGAACGCUGAAGCUUGGUGCUUGCACUGGGUGGGUGAGUGGCGAACGGGUGAGUAAUACGUGAGUAACCUGCCCUUGACUCUGGGAUAAGCCUGGGAAACUGGGUCUAAUACUGGAUACGACAUGUCACCGCAUGGUGGUGUGUGGAAAGGGUUUUACUGGUUUUGGAUGGGCUCACGGCCUAUCAGCUUGUUGGUGGGGUAAUGGCUCACCAAGGCGACGACGGGUAGCCGGCCUGAGAGGGUGACCGGCCACACUGGGACUGAGACACGGCCCAGACUCCUACGGGAGGCAGCAGUGGGGAAUAUUGCACAAUGGGCGGAAGCCUGAUGCAGCGACGCCGCGUGAGGGAUGACGGCCUUCGGGUUGUAAACCUCUUUCAGCACGGAAGAAGCGAAAGUGACGGUACGUGCAGAAGAAGCGCCGGCUAACUACGUG